AUGAUCUGCAAUGCACAGAAAGAGAAACUAAUCACUGGAUUAGCACCGGACCUGAUUGAGGAUGGGGUGGCUAUUCUUCAAUACGCUGAUGACACGGUCAUCUGCUUUGAGCAUGAUAAAGAAGUUGCGGUGAACCUGAAAUUGUUACUUUACAUGUUUGAGCUCAUGUCGGGGCUUAAAAUUAACUUCCUGAAAAGCGAAAUUCUGUGUAUUGGAGGGGAUGAUGACACUCUGGCAUUUCAUGCCGAUCUCUUCAAUUGCCAGAUAGGACAUUUUCCUAUGAAAUACCUGGGCGUUCCUGUUAGCUACUCCACUCUUCGGGGUUUACAUUGGGACUUUGCUGACGAAAGAUUUCUGAAAUGUUGUGAAGCCUGGAUUGGCAAUGCGGCAUCCUCUGGAGGGAGGCUUAUACUACUUAAUGCCUCCCUUACCACAUCAUAUAUUUCUACAUGUCCAUGUUCUUGCUACCUAAGAUGGUCAUUACAAAGUUAG
rnacentral:rRNA from 1 species